rnacentral:misc_RNA from 1 species
UCAAUGUCAAAAAAGUAAUCAUAUUAGAAGCUGGGGGAGAAAAAAAUGCAAGUGAUGUCUACUUAAAAUUCGACGAGCUACCUUGUUAAUUGGUCGUUUGAAAAGCAGUUUCAUUUAACAGUGCACUACAAUACAGUAUACAUACCUUCGGUGAAAUGGGUUCUUUUCCGGGAGAAAGGACAUCAAGUGAAUUCGAACGUGAGGAAUUACUAUUACGAAAGGAAUACACAGAUCGUGAGCACCUCAUUUCCGCUUUUACGGAAAUCAAAGGACUGCGUGAUGCAGAAGAAUUUUGUGACAUAAUUUUGAAAGUGGAAAACAGAGAAGUAAAGGCGCACCGAGUGAUUUUAGCUGCGAGUAGUCCAUAUUUCAAAAACGCAUUCAGCGGUCAGUCAUUGGUCACCAUUGCCAAAUUCAUAGAAUUGCCGCAACAAAGAUAUGAACCCAUAAAAAGCAUCAUCGAUUAUAUUUACACUGGCUGUAUUGAAGUAAAUUUAGAAACUGCAGAGGAGUUAUUUAAAACUGCUGACUUUCUUCAAAUAAAUCGGGUCAAAGACGUUUGUUCUCAUUUUUUGAAAGCAGCAUUGAGCCCAGAGAGUUGCCUACAAGUUUGGAAUAUAACAGGAAACAUUGGACUUAUAGAUAUUCAAAAUGAAGCAACUAAACUGUCGAUUUCAACGAUAGAUCACCUCAUUACUUCCUCAGCUUUUUUGAAUUUAUGUCCAAAAAAGGUCGAAGAGCUACUCGAAAAAUCAACAGAAAUUCCUCGCGCCGAUAAAGUGUAUCGAGCUGUACUUGCCUGGGUGAAACAUGAUUUGAAGAAACGCAAACCACUUUUAAGUAAGCUUCUUCAAUUUAUUCCAUCGGAAAAGAUCACUCGCGAGUUUCUUAGAACGACAGUAAUCAAAGAAACCUUACUAACAGAGGACUUAAAUUGUAUGCUCUGGAUGCAUAAAAUUUUUGUAUCAAUGUUUGAUAUAGUCAAUUCAGAACUAAGUCAGGAAGAAGAUGAAUUAAUGAAUCACAGCAGUGGUCACAUAUACGUUUCUAGCCUACGAGGGAAAUAUUCGACUUUUUACAAAUUCGACACGUUAAGCUCCGAGAUAACCGAUCUGCCUGCUUGCUCAAGGGUCAGGUACAGCCACCCUGUUUUCUACAAUGAAGCCAUUUAUUUCACUGGAGGUUUGGUGAAGUCAGGUUGUAGUAAUAAAUGUGAUCGGUUUAAUGUCAUUGAUGAAUCUUGGGAUGUAUUAACAUUGGAUUGUGAUCGAUAUUAUCAUGGAGCAUGCGUAGUAAAAGAUAACCUCUACGUGGUGGGAGGUUGCAAAGAUCAUCAAAAUUUGAAAACUGUUAAAGUUUAUGAUUUUAAAACUGGCAAUUGGACGAAAGCGGCUGACAUGAAUAUAGCGAGAAAAUUCUUUGGAAUUGUGAAGCACAAUGGGUGCAUAUAUGCAAUUGGUGGAGUAACUGACAAAGCGGAUUCAUCUUCAAGUGUGGAAAUGUUUGAUCAGCGCGAAGGUAUUUGGCAGAAUAUUCCGGCACUUGGGAAAAUAUCAGGCGCAUGUACUGCAGCGGUUGCAUCAAAUCAAAUUUACUGUUCUGGAUUCAGAUCCGGAUUUGUCGAAAGAUUUGAAACAAGAAUGAACAGGUGGACAUCCGUAGCGAACGCAAUAAGUCUUCCAGGAAGUUUAGUAUCAACUAGAGGUGAACUAUACCGAGUAUCGGUAGAUGGUAUUCAGCAUUUUGAAAGCUAUAACAACUGCUGGAAUAAUUCACUUGAUGUUAACAUUUUUUCCACAGAAAUUGUAGCUGUAGCGAACUAACCUGUAAAGAUGAAAAAUAAUUCAAAUUUUCAAUUAAAAUUAUCUUAAUUAGAACUAUCUAUAAUUUCAGUUAACUAGUAUCUGUACUAUAGUUAUAAAUUGUAGUUGAUUUCACCUGGACUUUGCGUUGUUAAAUAAGAAACUCUAGUUUCGAACAUCUCCGCCACAAAAUAUAAUGACUUC